UUGGACACAUUCUUGUUGUUAUUAGGUCUUUCCACUUUUCCGUGGAAAGACCUAUUGGAUUUCUUCUGAUUAUUAUUAUUUUUUUUUUUUUUUUUUCUUCCGCCUAAUUUUUUUCCUUCGCUGUUUUUUUGUUUCGCAAGAUGUCGCUUAGAUUUUUGGAAUAUGAUAUCGAACAGUUUAUACGCUUUUGAAACCAACUCUGCUUAACCGAAUACUUUCCCAAAUAAGAGUUAUCUCCCCGAACACUGUUUUUCUUGUUAUCUCUAAGGCUUCGCAACCGUAUAAGAAACCGACAAAUUUAUUUUUCCAAAUUGCUCGUUAUAUCCUCAGGAUGUUCUGUUUUAUUUUGACCGAAGCCGUAUAUAGAUUCCAUAUGAGAGUUAUCCCCCCUUUUAUGUUUGAUAUAAGAAUUUGCAUUUCUAACUGGUAAACCAUAAGUGAUAGAGACCUAGGGUCUUUUGAUUUGAGGUCCUUGGUCCAAAAAAAAUGAAAAUAAGGUCAAGGUCAAAGGUCAAGGUCAUAUUAUAAAAUUUUGAUUUUGGCUUAUUUUCACUUAUUUUUUCAAAAGCCGUAUAACUUAUCGACAAAUUAUUUUUACUAAAUUGUUAGUUGCGACAUGUGGUAACACGUAGAUUUUAGUCGAAAGAGUACGUAGACAUUUGAUGCCAGUUUUGCCCCCUUUUAUAUCUAAUAUUAGUUGUAAGGUAAUACAACUCAUUAACUAUAUAUAGUAGAGGCCUAGAGUCUUUUGAUUUGAGGUCCUUGGUUGAUGACCUCGAAAUUGAGCUCAAGGUCAUAGGUAAAUGUAACGUUCUAGAUUUUGACCUUUGCUUUUACCUCAUAUGUAUACAUGAUCAAGACUUGGGACUUUUUAAAUUAGGUUGCAAGCAAUGUGAUCUAGAAAAAGACAACCGGAAGUGACCUUUUGUAAACCGGAAGUAGCUAUAUUUUGUACUUCAUUAAUGAAAAAGUAUAUAGAACCAUAUAUUUUUGGAAUCAGUGUCACUUAAACUAUCAAACUAUACCGGAAAUAACAUCGUUUGAACCGGAAGUAAACAAUUAUCUCCCUUAUAUAUAUCUUUUUCCAUAGAAACCAUACAUUUUUGGAAUUAGCGUUCAAUAAGCUGUCAUUUGACGGUACAAUUGACAUUUAAAACCAAAUUUUAAUAUUUUCAUAUAAAAAAAAGGUCUUAACUGGUGGAAAGACCAUCAAUGGUUCUCUGAACAAUUGGUUUUUAAUUUU
rnacentral:lncRNA from 1 species